CACAGCUUUUCUAAUUUGGAUUCUUAGUUAAAUUGCAUUUUACAACUUAAAGGAGAAACUCUCCAUGCGAGGCUCCAUUUUCUUUUAAGAUUUAGCAAAUUACAUCACAAUCAAGUUCAGUCCUGGCACAGCCAGAAUAAACACUGCAAAUGAGAAGGAGAAAUAGAAAGAUUGUUUUUGUUCUCCUCUGUAUGUUUUCUCUAUGUUGGCCGCCUGGUGCAAAAGAUGCAGCUUAUAACGAUGAGAGCUAAGAUGGAGGCUCUCCGUUGCAGGAUAAAGAGAGAGAUUUUUGCAUUAAAUUUUAUUUUUCAUAACUCAGAAAUAUAUAUUGGUUAAAUUUAGGGGUAGGUAAUGAAAAAAAUAAAAGAUGCUGGGAAGUCACAGUUCCCUUUUAAAACUAUACAUGCAAUACUAUAAAUCACUUAAUGGAAUAUUU